rnacentral:lncRNA from 1 species
AAAAGUUUUGAGAACUCAAGGCUUUAGUAAGAAUGUCUGCCGUCUAGACCUGCUGGACACAUGCUUUGUAACAAUGCUUCCAUCUUGGAUUUCGUCUCGUAUUAAGUGGCAAUUGAGCUAUAUAUGCUUGGUCCUUUCAUGAAAGACUGGGUUUGUGGCAAUGUACACAGCGGACUUAUUAUCACAGUAUAAGAAGGCGUCCACUGGGGAUAAGCUAUCUACAAGUCAUUAAAUAAAUACGGAGCCAUGCUAGUUCACAAAACAAAUUGGCUAUGGCUCCAUAUUUUGCUUCUGGGGAAGAUCUGGAAACGAGAUGUUGCUUCUUGGACUUCCCGGACAUCAGUGAUUCACCAACAAAGACACAAUACCCUGUCAUUGACCACCUGGUAUCAAGACACGCACCCCAAUCAGAGUCACAGUAACUAUGCAGCUGCACCUUCGAAUCUGUUAGAUAAAAUAACCCUUAGCCUGGAGCUCCUUUGACAUAUCUUAGGACCUUGUGUGUUGUGUAUAGAUGUGGUACUCGAAGACUUUCCAUAAACUGGCUUAAUAACUGGACUGAGUAUGAAAUGUCUAGCCUAGUUAUAGUCAAAUAUAGCAAUCACCCAAUCAAUCUCCUGUAGAGUCCAGGUUCAGGAAGAAUCUCUCCUUCAUCUUUAGUUAACUUCCUAUUCCAGUCCAAAGGAAUCCUAG